UACGUAGGGGUCGAGCGUUGUCCGGAGUUACUGGGCGUAAAGCGUGCGCAGGUGGCUCAUCGCGCUCGGCGUGAAAGCCCCCGGCUCAACCGGGGAGGGUCGUCGAGGACGGGUGAGCUUGAGGGUAUCAGGGGCUGGUGGAACUCCCGGUGUAGUGGUGAAAUGCGUAGAGAUCGGGAAGAACACCCGUGGCGAAGGCGGCCAGCUGGGAUACACCUGACACUGAGGCACGAAGGCGUGGGGAGCGAACGGG
rnacentral:rRNA from 1 species